rnacentral:tRNA from 1 species
GACCGUCUAGCUCAGUUGGUAGAGUGCAAGCUUCUUAACCUUGAGUUCCUGGAUUCAAACUCCCUUACGGGCA